UACGUAGGAGGCAAGCGUUGUCCGGAAUUACUGGGCGUAAAGCGCGUGUAGGUGGUGGGACAAGUCUGCUGUGAAAGCGCCUGGCUUAACCGGGCGAGGUCGGCGGAAACUGUUCGACUCGAGGACGGUAGAGGGGGUGGAAUUCCCGGUGUAGUGGUGAAAUGCGUAGAGAUCGGGAGGAACACCUGUCGGCAGGAGGGCGGCCCCUGGGCC
rnacentral:rRNA from 1 species